UCAUCACAAAAUGAUAUCACGCACGCAUGGGUUCAUCCAUCUCCGCCAGCUGAUAGAGAUCACAGUUAAUUAAUUCAAGAACACGUUUCGAUCGAUGGACGACGGAGCAAUGGCGGCUUAAGAGGAUCCUCCGAACGUGUCGAAGAUGGUGGUGUGGAGCGGGUCGCUGAGGUGGGUGGCCCAGUUGUUGAGCGGGCCCUUGCCGGUGGCGGCGGCCUGCACGGCGAAGCCGAGGAAGGCGACCAUGGCGAGGCGCGCGUGCUUGAUCUCCGCCAGCUGCAGCCGCUCCUUCUUCUCCGGGUCGGCCGCCAGGCCGAGCGGGUCGAAGUAGGAGCCGCCCGGGUAGAGCCUCUUCUCCGGGUCGAGCUCGGCGUUGCGCUGGAACUCGAUGUAGCCGAUCACGAGCACCUCGAUCCAGAUGAGUGUCGAGAUGGAGAAGGGCAGCGGCU
rnacentral:lncRNA from 1 species